rnacentral:rRNA from 1 species
GGGUUCUCAAGCGUGAGGUAAGGGCAUUUGGUGGAUGCCUUGGCAUGCACAGGCGAUGAAGGA